UGAUUCUUUAUUGGCUCGCAAAGUAUGUUUUGAAUGUCACAAACAAACCUAAGCGACCAUAAAUUUAAAUUACCAGUAAACUAAUUCAAUUAUCGUAAUGCUGUUUUACAUGAUCAUUACUAUAGAUGUAAGGAACUAAGAAAAAUACAUUCUGAUUUCUAUUUUAUUUUUAAACUAGCUGCCCGACCCGGCUUCGCACGGCUAUACUAAUGGAAAAAAAUUAAACCACAUCUCCCAUUUACAGUAAUGGCAAAUAAAAAAAAAAUUCAGUGAAAAUUUAUUGCAAUGCUGUAUAAUGUACCGGAGAGAAAAUAAAUAGCACCAAUGGUUUCCUGACUCGUGCACGCAACAUACAACUGAUGUACCCGUACUUCGCUACGGCAGUCUACAGGCAGUUCACUCUUGCGCCGCUCAUUAUGCAUGCCCUCCUUGUGGGUACGCCACUGCCGCGCGAUGCCCGUUGCCAUGGAGAUGCAGAAGGCAUGAACAAUGCAAAAUCCUGUUCUCAUGCAGACAAAGUACCCACUGUUGCCUGGUUUUAACCACCCAUGGGAUCUAAUUUUCGUAAAAUAUCAUCCUGCGUAACAUAAGGAACAUUACUGUGAAGUUUCAAGUCUGUAAAAUAUAUAUAUACUUGAAAAAAAAAAAAAAAAAAGGUCAAUUUUUGAUAUUUAAAGUACCCGCAAAAUUUCAACGGUGAUGAGGACUGCACUAACAAUGAAAGAGUCGUUGCCAUAGAGACGAAUGAAGCAUCAACAUAUAUAUACUUGAAAAAAAAAGGGCAAUUUUUGAUAUUUAAAGUACCUGCAAAAUUUCAACGGUGAUGAGGACUGCACUAACAAUGGAAUAGUCGUUGCCAUAGAGAUGAAUGAAGCAUCAACAAAGCAACAGCCGUUGCCAUGGUGAUUUCCUACCAAAAACUGGAAAUUUUGAUAUAUUACGCCCCCAAAACUUCUCUUGGGAUCGGAUUUCCGCAGAAUCCGUUCUUAGUGAGCGUCUACAUCACAAAAUGAGUAACUAUGCUAAAUUUCAAGUCAAUCGCGUGUAUAGUUUUAGAGAUCUCGUGAUGAGUGAGUCAGUGAGUGGUAUUUCGCUUAUAUAUAUGUAUAUGUAGACACACACACACACACCCACACACACAAGUCCUUGUCAGAAUUGUAACGGGAGAGGAAAAUUAUUGAUGGUCCUAAAAAUGAAAAUUAAUUAAAAAUAAUAAAAAUAAUUCUAGUAAAAGAAAAAAAAACAAAAACAAAUUAAACACACAGAGAGAGAGAAAAAAAAAACAAUAGUUUAGGUUUGCGAUUUAAAGUGAUAAAAAGUAUUUAAAUACUGAUUGAACUCUUAUGAGGGUACUGAUUGCUUCGUUGUUAAUAUCACACGGGUGUUUUUUACUUGUAUGGGAAAAUUAAGAAUGAUAAGGCAUCUAGUACGUGGCAACAAUGUUAAUAGGCAAUAGGAAAUAAACUUCUAGCGCCUGCGGCAUUGUCAACACACACUUUGUACGUGUACUGCAUGUUGUAUCUAACCCCCUCCAAUACAUUUGAUUCUAAAUUGGACUUUUAGUAAGGAUCCCUAAUGUUAUUGAUAAUAUAAUAUAGCCUAUAGCCUUCCUUGAUAAAUUUACUAUCCAACACUGAAAUAAUUUUUCAAAUCAGACCAGUGGUUUCUGAGAUUAGCGCGUUCAAAUAAACAAACUCUUCAGCUUUAUAAUAUUAGUAUAGAUAACAAGCCCCUCUUCCAUUUUUUAAUGUAGUACUUUGUAAGUUUUGGGUCAAACUUAUUGUUUACAUACGUAUACUGUUGGACUUUCGGGGUUGUUGCGUGGUUUUACGGUGUAGAUGUCACCGUGAAAGUCUACACUGCCAAUAAUUAUUAUCAUAAAGUAUUUGUAUUCUCAGGGUUUUUUCGCUUCCUCUCCAGUAGCGAUCAGCAAACACUGCUGCUGGUGUAAUUAUCCAGGCCGUUAGUCCAGCUAACACGUCACUGCAAUGUGUUCCAGCUGAGAGAGUAAUCAAUCAAAAGAAAGUUGUUAGUGUUGUAUGAUGUGUGAAGUGUGAACAAUUAUGUUAACUGUAAAUGGUCUGUUUUAAAAGUAAUUAAAAAUAGCAUGAAUAAAAUAAAAAUAGUUGGAAAAAUGUGAUUUUAAUAUGGUCUUAACUGUUUGAUGUGAAAUUACUGUGAAUGUGAAAUUCACUUUGUUUAGAGCCAGAGGAUCAACCAAAGACAUUUAAUUGAAUGUUAGAUUAUUUGCCAGACCUGUAUGUUUGUAAAGAAAUAAUGUUAACGGGGUCACAGGAACACAUCAACUACCAUGCCGAGUCUAGCUACAAGCUGUCGGAGGCUUGCUUCUCUCUUCUCUGGACCACCAGGUGGUCUACUGCGACACUGGAACGCUGGAAGGGUAAGCUGAAAGUGGCGAACUACUGAAGUUCUGGUACAGCCGGAGGUCUGGUAGAAUAUCAGCUUCCCUCUCGUCCUAAAAACUCUGUUCAAUUAGAAUCGGUCUCACCAAGUGUAGUGACAGACCGUAGGUGGUGCUGCAUCAGUCGUCACGAACCACUACGAGGACAGACGGGACCGACGCGGAAGUUGGCACUAGAUCGCAGAUACUCCCUAUCUAAGACUUGUGCCGUCUCAAACUAUUCUCCCAAACAGUGGUCUGGAGAAUACUAUUUAACAUACAACCGCGGAUGACGCGAUUCUUCGAUUUCUCGGGCGGCAACCAAGGCUUUGGUUCGCCCCAGCCUGAGAAACGUCUUCCCGCUGCAAUAUGGCGAUGGCCUCUCUUCUCUUUUUCCUCCCAACUAUUUACUUUUUUUUGUCCCUUGCAACCAAAGAGCUAUUGGGCAAUCAAAAAAAAACUGCAUAGUGAAAUAAAUAAAUGAAUAUCAGCAUGUAAGUGUACUGAACUAAGGCAAAUGAAUAAAAAUUCCAAGGAAUAAUACUUAGAAGACCCUGAGGUAUUUUGUUGUAUCUGGCAAUUAAGUGUGGUCUGUAUGGCAAACUAUGGUUGUCCUCUUUACAAUAAAAUAUUUAAAUACAUUCAAUUGGCUCACAAAAUAUACAAUUAUUUACAAUAAUAAUCAAAAUAUUAACAACAUAACUGUAAACAGUUGGAAUGGCUACAAUACUUAUAUUUAAAAAAACUAAAUUUUUUCCGUUUUUCGACUGAUGAGAAAAGAAGAAAUGUUUGAGAUUGGACACUGAAAAUGUUGGAUUUUGUCCUCAAAACACAUUCCAAACUGUGCUGAAAGCAUUUUUCUCCAGAUUGCUUUGACAAUGUAACACUUGUCUCGGAAAGGAAACUGAAGCUAGAUGUUGAACCAUCAAUCUUCAAUUUUCCUGUGCAUCUACUUUCGAACAAGAAAAAGAGAAAGUCACUAACUAAAAGGAUACAUGAAGCUACUAAUGUUGAAAGAAAAUGACAGCCUUCAUGCAAAAUGGAAAAAAAAAGAAAGAAACUUCAUGACACGCGUAGAAAGCUAAGAUUAUCAAGGCAGUGACUACACCAGACAAUGCGUAGACUGAAGACUGCAAAAGCACUAGUAAAUUACCUACAGUAGGAAUUGAUGAUGAUGACAGAAAAUGCUGUACACACACUUGAUAAAAACCUUCCACCUGCUGCUUUCCAGCUGCUGGUGCGUUCCAGGGAAGGACCAACUAGGAAUACAUAACCCAUUGGAACUUUGAAGAUAAGCUCUAACAUUGAGCUUUUAUUCUAGUCGGGUAUAAAAUUAUGUCCAAAAUGUUUUACCUCACAGAUUGCCCCAUCCCAGCACACUGAAGAAAUGGUACCUCUCAGUGGAUGGCAGGCCAGGAUUUAGUAAGGAGGUUAAAACUGCCCUAACGUUGAAAAAAAUGAAAUGGCUACAAAAGGAAAGACUGUUGUGUGUUCUCUGUUUAUGGAUGAAAUGUGCAUCAGAAAACAAGCGGAGUUUAGUGGGAAACAUUUUGUAUGAUUGUUAAUUUUGAUUUGGAUGUUGUUGACAGUUGUCUCCCAGAAGCAAAAGAAACACCAGUAUUUGUGUUAGUGGACCUUUAUGAUGAUUGGAAAAUACCUCUUGGCUAUUUUCUGGUUAGUGGCUUAAGUGGCUCAGAGUGUUGUAAUUUAAUGUUGCAAUGUUUGGAAUUUUUGCAUGAACUAGAUAUUAAUUUCCUUACAUUAACAGAUGGUGCUGCUUAAUAUUUGUCAGGGACUCAUUGUUUGGGAGUAGAUUACACUUCAGAAAACAUGAAGACAUUGUUUACAAACCCAACAGGACCAGAGUUGGAAAAAAACCCCCCAAACAACCAGGUUUUUUGGUUUGAACCAGGAUUUUUAUUACAUUAGUUAUUUUGGUUCUCAUCACAUUCAAACUAAAUAUAUCAUAAUUCAGGGUGAUUAAUAAUUUUACACCCAAUUCAUAACUGACUGCAACUAAAACAUACUCAUAUUUCAUUUUGAGACCACUUAAUUAUCUUACAUAUAAAUUUUAUGAAAUCUAUAUACCUACUUAUGAUUUUAAUGCAUAAGAGUUUGUCAAAUAUAUUGUUAAAAUACUAAUAGAAAAAAAUUGGUGACAGUAUUACAAUGUGUACAACAGAAUAAACUCAUCAAUCCAAGAAGCCAUAAAAGCAAAAUAAAAAAAAAACACUAAUUUCCCUUCAAUCUUUUGGAUUAUGUUAUUAAAAUCAAAAUAUCAGGAUCAACCACUAUUAUGUUAAUUCAACACUAUUAUGUUAGUUCUUUCCUGUUUGUAUUGCAGGUCACAUAACAUCACUGUUGGUUGUGUUCGUUGAAUGCUUUAAAAAGAAAUACAAGUUUGGAUGCUUUCUCUAUGCCUAACUUAUUACGUACUUUAGAAUGCACAAAUCCAUAUAAGACACUCUACAGUUGCUGAAAUAGCAUGUUCUGUAAGUAACUGUUCAACAGAAAAAAAAAAAACUAUCAUUAAAUUUCUCAAUGUCAUUCUUCUGACUUCUCCAACCUCAUAGGUUGUAACCUGUGAUAUUACUUCAUCCUCAAAAAGCAAUUUUUGGAAAGGUAAACUUUUUGAUUAAAAUUUAACAAUUAAUGGAAGCAGUGAACUCGUCGAGUACCUUGAUUUUGCAAACUUCAAUACUAUGCUUUUUUCUUUUUCAGUCAAAUCAACACCAAGUGAUAAUUUUUUGUUCUCUUUUGGAUCAAGCAUACAAGCUAAUAAAUGAG